rnacentral:rRNA from 1 species
UACGGAGGGGGCUAGCGUUGUUCGGAAUUACUGGGCGUAAAGCGCACGUAGGCGGCUUUGUAAGUUAGAGGUGAAAGCCCGGGGCUCAACUCCGGAAUUGCCUUUAAGACUGCAUCGCUAGAAUUGUGGAGAGGUAAGUGGAAUUCCGAGUGUAGAGGUGAAAUUCGUAGAUAUUCGGAAGAACACCAGUGGCGAAGGGACG